UCCGGUUUGGCACCGGCAGUCUCCGAUGAGUCCCCGGCAUUACCCGCUGGCAACAUCGGACAGGGGUUGCGCUCGUUGCGCCACUUAAGGCAACACCUCACGGCACGAGCUGACGACAGCCAUGCAGCACCUGUGCAGGCUCCCGAAGGAGCGCCGUGUUUCACAGGGUUUAACCAGCAUGUCAAGCCCAGGUAAGGUUCUUCGCGUUGCAUCGAAUUAAGCCACAUGCUCCGCCGCUUGUGCGGGUCCCCGUCAAUUCCUUUGAGUUUUAGCCUUGCGGCCGUACUCCCCAGGCGGGGCGCUUAAUGCGUUAGCUACGGCACAGAAACCCGGGAAGGGUCCCCACACCUAGCGCCCAACGUUUACAGCAUGGACUAC
rnacentral:misc_RNA from 1 species